GGGAGUGCAUCGGUCCCGGUGGGCUGCCCGGUCUUCAAAACCGGUGGCGCGGUGUACAGAACGCCGCGCGGUGGGUUCGACUCCCAUGCAUUCCCGA
rnacentral:tRNA from 1 species